rnacentral:lncRNA from 1 species
CAGAUGCUGCACAGCCCUCCAUGAUUUUAAAUAAUUAAAGGAUUACAGAUCACUUGCGUCACCUACGUCAUGUGAGCUUCACACAGCACACAGAGAUGGGACCAUCAGACAGCGACAGCAUCAGAAAGGAUGGAGUUAAACUUUGGAAAUAAUGCUCAACUGUAGGAGUUCAGACGCUGAGGACCAAGAACCUUCUGUGAUGGGACAGCUAAAGACCAAGAGAAGUGAGGACUGUACGGAGCAGAGAAAGCGCUGAAGGAGGAGCAUCCUGGGAGAACUAUGCUGUUGAUGUGGGCACGGCCAUAUCAAGGACCUCAGAGCCUCUGGUCUGUGGAGGAACAGCAAAGCCUUCCCCUUGGCACAGUGAGUUGAGAGAAGACACAGUGAUAGUACAGAGUGAGGCACCACUGGAGACUAUAGAGCAAGUUAGUCCUGCCCUUGAAGAACACACCAUCUAGAAGAAGAAACUAAAAAGAAGAAGUGAAGAAGCCGCUAAAUCUUCAUGAAAUGUGAAGAGCUUUAAAACAGAGAAAAUGGGAGCUGGGUGGGAAACGGUGGUGAGAGAAAGCUUUCUCUAGGUGCUGGUCUUGAGUAAAGUCAUGAGAAAGUACACAAGAGCAAACCCAGAGGGAUGGGG